GACAACACUACUAGGCAUUUCAAGGUGUCUGGAACUGAACACUGUAAACCCUGGCAACUGGAUGUCCCUGCACAUCUUAAAAGUUACUUUAUUCUUUAUCUUUGUGUCUUCAGUCUUGAAGGUCAAAAAGUGGAUUGAGGACCUAACAAUGUUACCAGCUAGCAGUGAAUACUUGAACAAGCCCUACUAAGAGUCACUCAUUUGCCUAGACUGGACUUGAAUAUGCAAUCCUCCUGCCUCAGCUUUCCAAAGUGCUGGAAUUACAGGAUCCAGAAAACAAAUGGCCAGUUCACCUUUCCAUUUUUACCACCACAAUCCUUAUCACAAUCACCACCGAUUUGAGAUCAAACUGGACCUUUUCAUUGUUUUCCACAUACAAACUCGAAAGGAGCACCAAGGUACAAAGACCAAGAAGUCUGCUUGGCCGUAGAGCACUAUUUUCCUCACUUACGCCUGCCAGGGUGAAGCUCUUUCUACGGCAAUAAGUGUCCUGGUUAG